rnacentral:rRNA from 1 species
GACGAACGCUGGCGGCGUGCCUAAUACAUGCAAGUAGAACGCUGAAGGAGGAGCUUGCUUCUCUGGAUGAGUUGCGAACGGGUGAGUAACGCGUAGGUAACCUGCCUGGUAGCGGGGGAUAACUAUUGGAAACGAUAGCUAAUACCGCAUAAGAGUAGAUGUCGCAUGACAUUUGCUUAAAAGGUGCAAUUGCAUCACUACCAGAUGGACCUGCGUUGUAUUAGCUAGUUGGUGAGGUAACGGCUCACCAAGGCAACGAUACAUAGCCGACCUGAGAGGGUGAUCGGCCACACUGGGACUGAGACGCGGCCCAGACUCCUACGGGAGGCAGCAGUAGGGAAUCUUCGGCAAUGGACGGAAGUCUGACCGAGCAACGCCGCGUGAGUGAAGAAGGUUUUCGGAUCGUAAAGCUCUGUUGUAAGAGAAGAACGAGUGUGGGAGUGGAAAGUUCACACUGUGACGGUAUCUUACCAGAAAGGGACGGCUAACUACGUG